rnacentral:rRNA from 1 species
GACGUAGGGCGCGAGCGUUGUCCGGAUUUAUUGGGCGUAAAGAGCUCGUAGGCGGCUUGUCGCGUCGAAUGUGAAAACUCGGGGCUCAACUCCGAGCUUGCAUUCGAUACGGGCAGGCUAGAGUUCGGUAGGGGAGACUGGAAUUCCUGGUGUAGCGGUGAAAUGCGCAGAUAUCAGGAGGAACACCAGCGGCGAAGGCGGCGCUCUGGGCCGGAACUGACGCUGAGGAGCGAAAGCGUGGGUAGCAAACAGG